rnacentral:sRNA from 1 species
GCCGGGCAUGGUGGCGCAUGCCUGUAAUCUCAGCAGCUCGGGAGGCUGAGGAAGGAGGAUCAUGAGUUCAAAGUCAGCCUCAGCUUUGAAAAGUGAGGUGCUAUGCAACUCAGUGAGACCCUGUCUCUA